CCUACGGGAGGCAGCAGUGGGGAAUAUUGCACAAUGGGGGAAACCCUGAUGCAGCGACGCCGCGUGGGUGAAGAAGUAUUUCGGUAUGUAAAGCCCUGUCAGCAGGGAAGAAGAUGACGGUACCUGACCAAGAAGCCCCGGCUAACUCCGUGCCAGCAGCCGCGGUAAUACGUAGGGGGCAAGCGUUAUCCGGAUUUACUGGGGGUAAAGGGAGCGUAGACGGUGCUGCAAGUCGUAGGUGAAAGGCCGGGGCCCAACCCCGGGACGGCACUGGAAACUGUGGGACUGGAGUACAGGAGGGGUAAGCGGAAUUCCUAGUGUAGCGGUGAAAUGCGUAGAUAUUAGGAGGAACACCAGUGGCGAAGGCGGCUUACUGGACUGUAACUGACGUUGAGGCUCGAAGGCGUGGGGAGCAAACAGGAUUAGAUACCCGUGUAGUC
rnacentral:rRNA from 1 species